rnacentral:rRNA from 1 species
UACAGAGGGUGCAAGCGUUAAUCGGAAUUACUGGGCGUAAAGGGCUCGUAGGCGGCCAACUAAGUCAGACGUGAAAUCCCUCAGCUUAACUGGGGAACUGCGUCUGAUACUGGAUGGCUUGGAUUCGGGAGAGGAAUGCGGAAUUCCAGGUGUAGCGGUGAAAUGCGUAGAUAUCGGAAGGAACAUCAGUGGCGAAAGCGGCUUCCUGGACCAGCACCGACGUUCAGGCACGAAAGCGUGGGGAGCAAACAGG